GGUGUGUAGCUCAGUGGUAGAGCAUUCGACUACAGAUCGAGAGGUCCCCGGUUAGAACUCGGGUGCCACCU